CAAUCUAAGCAGACAAUGAUGAAUGUCAUAGGCAAGAAUUCUUUUGCCUAUAAAUGAAAGUGUAAGCAUUCCACCUCAAGAGUAACGCGGCAACGCCGGAACUGAAAUCAUUAGACCGUUUCUGAAANCAGUAGUGGAGUAUGUUGUUUAAUUUGAUCGUACGCAAAAAACCUUACCACAGUCUGAAUAGAUAUCUAGAUAUCAUACAAGCGUUGCACGGCUGUCUUCAGUUAAUGUCGUGAGAUUUUGGUUAGUUCCAUUAAAUUAACGAAAACCCUUAUUUCAUUUUUAUUAUGAAGUAGUUCACCGGACAGCGGUCAUGAUAAAAGGGAUUAAGACAAGUCAAUAUGGCCUUAGUAUUGUGGCUAUAGACG
rnacentral:rRNA from 1 species